GAAUCUGUUGCCCACGAAGAUGGGUCUGCUGAAGAUGACCUUGGCGUCAACCAGGAAUUGGUAGCUCCCUCAAAACAGCAUGACAGUGAGGAAACCUCCAAAGAAUCAGAUGUCUUCCCAAGCAGCCCGGUAAAAGAAAAGGAUGCCCAGCCUAUGCUUCCCAUUUGCGCCUCUGCCAGUGAAGCUGUUAAAGAGUGUGGCAAGUCUGGGUUUGACGAAGAAGACGAAGAGAUGACUCAAGAUAAAAUAAAGUCUCUCUUGGAGA
rnacentral:misc_RNA from 1 species